GGAUAGCUCUAUUGGUUAGAGCAUGGUGCUGAUAACACCAAGGUUGCAGGUUCGACUCCCUUAAGGAACG